GUGCCAGCAGCCGCGGUAAUACGUAGGGUGCAAGCGUUAAUCGGAAUUACUGGGCGUAAAGCGUGCGCAGGCGGUUUUGUAAGUCUGAUGUGAAAUCCCCGGGCUCAACCUGGGAAUUGCAUUGGAGACUGCAAGGCUAGAAUCUGGCAGAGGGGGGUAGAAUUCCACGUGUAGCAGUGAAAUGCGUAGAUAUGUGGAGGAACACCGAUGGCGAAGGCAGCCCCCUGGGUCAAGAUUGACGCUCAUGCACGAAAGCGUGGGGAGCAAACAGGAUUAGAUACCCUGGUAGUCCACGCCCUAAACGAUGUCUACUAGUUGUCGGGUCUUAAUUGACUUGGUAACGCAGCUAACGCGUGAAGUAGACCGCCUGGGGAGUACGGUCGCAAGAUUAAAACUCAAAGGAAUUGACGGGGACCCGCACAAGCGGUGGAUGAUGUGGAUUAAUUCGAUGCAACGCGAAAAACCUUACCUACCCUUGACAUGGCUGGAAUCCUUGAGAGAUCAGGGAGUGCUCGAAAGAGAACCAGUACACAGGUGCUGCAUGGCUGUCGUCAGCUCGCGUCGUGAGAUGUUGGGUUAAGUCCCGCAACGAGCGCAACCCUUGUCAUUAGUUGCUACGAAAGGGCACUCUAAUGAGACUGCCGGUGACAAACCGGAGGAAGGUGGGGAUGACGUCAAGUCCUCAUGGCCCUUAUGGGUAGGGCUUCACACGUCAUACAAUGGUACAUACAGAGCGCCGCCAACCCGCGAGGGGGAGCUAAUCGCAGAAAGUGUAUCGUAGUCCGGAUUGUAGUCUGCAACUCGACUGCAUGAAGUUGGAAUCGCUAGUAAUCGCGGAUCAGCAUGUCGCGGUGAAUACGUUCCCGGGUCUUGUACACACCGCCCGUCACACCAUGGGAGCGGGUUUUACCAGAAGUAGGUAGCUUAACCGUAAGGAGGGCGCUUACCACGGUAGGAUUCGUGACUGGGGUGAAGUCGUAACAAGGUAACCGU
rnacentral:rRNA from 1 species